rnacentral:rRNA from 1 species
UGAUGAAUAUUGGACAAUGGGCGCAAGCCUGAUCCAGCCAUGCCGCGUGCAGGAUGAAGCAUCUAUGGUGUGUAAACUGCUUUUGUACGGGAAGAAACCACCCCUCGUGAGGGGUAUUGACGGUACCGUAAGAAUAAGGACCGGCUAACUCCGUGCCAGCAGCCGCGGUAAUACGGAGGGUGCAAGCGUUAUCCGGAAUCAUUGGGUUUAAAGGGUCCGCAGGCGGUCUUAUAAGUCAGUGGUGAAAGCCUACAGCUCAACUGUAGAACUGCCAUUGAUACUGUAAGACUUGAAUUCGAUCGAAGUGGGCGGAAUAUGACAUGUAGCGGUGAAAUGCUUAGAUAUGACAUAGAACACCGAUUGCGAAGGCAGCUUGCUACAGGAUUAUUGACACUGAGGCUCGAAAGCGGGGGGAUCAAACA